UACGGGGGGGGCAAGCGUUGUUCGGAAUUACUGGGCGUAAAGGGCUCGUAGGCGGCCAACUAAGUCAGACGUGAAAUCCCUCGGCUUAACCGGGGAACUGCGUCUGAUACUGGAUGGCUUGAGUUUGGGAGAGGGAUGCGGAAUUCCAGGUGUAGCGGUGAAAUGCGCAGAUAUCAGGAGGAACACCGGUGGCGAAAGCGCUCUGCUAGGCCGCAACUGACACUCAUGGACGAAAGCUAGGGGAGCGAAUGGG
rnacentral:rRNA from 1 species